rnacentral:snRNA from 1 species
UGUCUUGUUUCUCUUCAGAUCGUAUAAAUCUUUCGCCUUUUACUAAAGGUUUCAGUGGAGAGGAACAGCAAGAGAUUUUCUGAUCUUCACCUAGGUGUAA